ACUGAGGAAGGAGGAUGGGAAAUUUGAGAUCAGUCUGGGCAAUUUAGUAAAUCCUUGUUUCAAAAUAAAAGAAAAAGGACUGAUUAUGUAGCUCAGUGGUAGAGUGUUUGCCUACAUGUCAAUCCCUAGUACUGGGAAAAAAAAAAAAAAAAAAAGAUGCUCUACCACUGAGCCAUAUCCCCAGCCCCUAAAAUGGGCUUCUUGUGAGGAAUAGUCUGGGAAAAUGGCAGAAAAGAGAAUAUAAUACUUUCCUACUACAGUUUAUUAAAAUCUGCAUGCAUUCAAACUUGGAGCUAGUUUUCAGCUAAUUUUUAAAAGUACUGUUUAACACAGUCAUUGGA
rnacentral:lncRNA from 1 species